AACGCAGCGAAGGGCGAAAUGUAAUGUGAAUUGCAGAACCCCCGUGAAUCAUCGAAUCUUUGAACGCACCUUGCGCCCUGAGGUAUUCCUCUGGGCAUGCCUGUCUGAGUGUCGCGCACCUCUCAACCACGCGGUUUGCGCCGCGCUGGAUUGGACCGUGGCCGCUCUGGCCGACGCACGUCAGCCCGGCCGAAAUACAUGCGGAGCGCAUACGCGUCGCCGCGACGUCACCAGCGUUGUAGACUCCUCGCUGGCAUCGCCGUGGAGCGCGGCUCCCAAGCCCCUUUAUUUCGACCUCAGAUCAAGCAGGAUUACCCGCUGAACUUAA
rnacentral:rRNA from 1 species